rnacentral:rRNA from 1 species
CCCACGUCUGUUGCAAAAGACGGGGAUGAGCUGUGAUUAGGAGUGAAAAGCUAAUCGAACCCGGAGAUAGCUGGUUCUCCUCGAAAGCUAUUUAGGUAGCGCCUCAUAUGUAUCCUCUCGGGGGUAGAGCACUGUUAUGGCUAGGGGGUCAUCGCGACUUACCAAACCAUUGCAAACUCCGAAUACCGAGACGGACUGUAUGGGAGACACACGGCGGGUGCUAACGUCCGUCGUGAAAAGGGAAACAACCCAGACCCACAGCUAAGGUCCCAAAUUCACUGCUAAGUGGAAAACGAUGUGGAAAGGCAUAGACAGCCAGGAGGUUGGCUUAGAAGCAGCCACCCUUUAAAGAAAGCGUAAUAGCUCACUGGUCGAGUCGGUCUGCGCGGAAGAUUUAACGGGGCUAAGCAGUGAACCGAAGCUUGGGGUGCAUAAAACGUGUUUUAUGCGCGGUAGAGGAGCGUUCCGUAAGCCUGCGAAGGUGGAUUGAGAAGUCUGCUGGAGGUAUCGGAAGUGCGAAUGCUGACAUGAGUAACGAUAAUGCGGGUGAAAAGCCCGCACGCCGAAAGCCCAAGGUUUCCUUGCGCAACGUUAAUCGACGCAGGGUUAGUCGGUCCCUAAGGCGAGGGCGAAAGCCGUAGUCGAUGGGAAGCAGGUUAAUAUUCCUGCACCUCGCGUGAGUGCGAUGGAGGGACGGAGAAGGUUAGGUGUACCGGGCGUUGGUUGUCCCGGGGAAAGGCGGUAGGUUUGGAUCUUUGGCAAAUCCGGGAUCCUUUAAGACCGAGCACCGAGACGAGCCUUUUUGGCGAAGUCACUGAUACCACGCUUCCAGGAAAAGCUCCUAAGCUUCAGCUCACGAAGACCGUACCGUAAACCGACACAGGUGGGUAGGAUGAGAAUUCUCAGGCGCUUGAGAGAACUCGGGUGAAGGAACUAGGCAACAUGGCACCGUAACUUCGGGAGAAGGUGCACCCUUUUUGGUGGCUCAUGCGAGCUAUAGCUGAAGAGGGUCGCAGAAACCAGGCCGCUGCGACUGUUUAUCAAAAACACAGCACUCUGCAAACACGAAAGUGGACGUAUAGGGUGUGACGCCUGCCCGGUGCUGGAAGGUUAAUUGAUGGGGUCAGCCGCAAGGCGAAGCUCUUGAUCGAAGCCCCAGUAAACGGCGGCCGUAACUAUAACGGUCCUAAGGUAGCGAAAUUCCUUGUCGGGUAAGUUCCGACCUGCACGAAUGGCGUAACGACAGCGGCGCUGUCUCCACCCGAGACUCAGUGAAAUUGAAAUCGCUGUGAAGAUGCAGCGUUCCCGUGGCAAGACGGAAAGACCCCGUGAACCUUUACUAUAGCUUUACACUGAACGUUGAGUUCGUCUGUGUAGGAUAGGUGGGAGGCUAUGAAACUGUGGCGCUAGCUGCAGUGGAGCCAUCCUUGAAAUACCACCCUGUCGUGCUUGACGUUCUAACCUAGGUCCGUUAUCCGGAUCAGGGACCGUGUAUGGUGGGUAGUUUGACUGGGGCGGUCUCCUCCUAAAGAGUAACGGAGGAGCACGAAGGUACGCUCAGCGCGGUCGGACAUCGCGCACUGUGUGCAAAGGCAUAAGCGUGCUUGACUGCAAGAUCGACGGAUCAAGCAGGUACGAAAGUAGGUCUUAGUGAUCCGGUGGUUCUGUAUGGAAGGGCCAUCGCUCAACGGAUAAAAGGUACUCCGGGGAUAACAGGCUGAUACCGCCCAAGAGUUCAUAUCGACGGCGGUGUUUGGCACCUCGAUGUCGGCUCAUCACAUCCUGGGGCUGUAGUCGGUCCCAAGGGUAUGGCUGUUCGCCAUUUAAAGUGGUACGCGAGCUGGGUUCAGAACGUCGUGAGACAGUUCGGUCCCUAUCUGCCAUGGGCGUUGGAAGUUUGAGAGGGGCUGCUCCUAGUACGAGAGGACCGGAGUGGACGAACCUCUGGUGUUCCGGUUGUCACGCCAGUGGCAUUGCCGGGUAGCUAUGUUCGGAAGCGAUAACCGCUGAAAGCAUCUAAGCGGGAAGCGCGCCUCAAGAUGAGACUUCCCGGGGCACAAGCCCCCUAAAGGAACCAUGUAGACUACGUGGUUGAUAGGUCAGGUGUGUAAGUACAGCAAUGUAUUGAGCUAACUGAUACUAAUGAUCCGUGCGGCUUGACCAU